rnacentral:rRNA from 1 species
UACGAAGGGGGCUAGCGUUGCUCGGAAUCACUGGGCGUAAAGGGUGCGUAGGCGGGUCUUUAAGUCAGGGUGAAAUCCUGGAGCUCAACUCCAGAACUGCCUUUGAUACUGGACGAUCUGAGUUCGGGAGAGGUGAGUGGAACUGGCGAGUGUAGAGGUGAAAUUCGUAGAUAUUCGCAAGAACACCAGUGGCGAAGGCGGCUCACUGGCCCGAUACUGACCACUGAGGUGCGAAAGCGUGGGGAGCAA